rnacentral:rRNA from 1 species
AUUGAACGCUGGCGGCAUGCUUUACACAUGCAAGUCGAACGGUAACAGGCCGCAAGGUGCUGACGAGUGGCGAACGGGUGAGUAAUGCAUCGGAACGUGCCCAGUCGGGGGGGAUAACGCAGCGAAAGCUGUGCUAAUACCGCAUACGAUCUAUGGAUGAAAGAGGGGGACCGUAAGGCCUCGCGCGAUUGGAGCGGCCGAUGUCAGAUUAGGUAGUUGGUGGGGUAAAGGCCUACCAAGCCAACGAUCUGUGGCUGGUCUGAGAGGACGACCAGCCACACUGGGACUGAGACACGGCCCAGACUCCUACGGGAGGCAGCAGUGGGGAAUUUUGGACAAUGGACGCAAGCCUGAUCCAGCAAUGCCGCGUGCAGGAAGAAGGCCUUCGGGUUGUAAACUGCUUUUGUACGGAACGAAACGGUCUGGGUUAAUACCCUGGACUAAUGACGGUACCGUAAGAAUAAGCACCGGCUAACUACGUGCCAGCCGCCGCGGUAAUAC